UAUGUAGGGCGCAAGCGUUGUCCGGAAUUAUUGGGCGUAAAGAGCUCGUAGGCGGUUUGUCGCGUCUGCUGUGAAAACUCGGGGCUUAACCCCGGGCCUGCAGUGGGUACGGGCAGACUAGAGUGCGGUAGGGGAGACUGGAAUUCCUGGUGUAGCGGUGAAAUGCGCAGAUAUCAGGAGGAACACCGGUGGCGAAGGCGGGUCUCUGGGCCGUAACUGACGCUGAGGAGCGAAAGCGUGGGGAGCGAACAGG
rnacentral:rRNA from 1 species